UACGUAGGGUGCAGGCGUUAAUCGGAAUUAUUGGGCGUAAAGCGCGCGCAGGCGGUCCUUUAAGUCUGAUGUGAAAGCCCACGGCUCAACCGUGGAGGGUCAUUGGAAACUGGGGGACUUGAGUACAGAAGAGAAGAGUGGAAUUCCACGUGUAGCGGUGAAAUGCGUAGAGAUGUGGAGGAACACCAGUGGCGAAGGCGACUCUUUGGUCUGUAACUGACGCUGAGGCGCGAAAGCGUGGGGAGCAAACAGG
rnacentral:rRNA from 1 species